UCUCCAGUUGUUCUGUUUUGGGAGCUUGUCCGAAGCUGUCUCCGUUCUGAAUAAAACUGUUGCGAGCAAUGUGUGCUGGUAUUUGCUCCCUGCCUGCUCUGGCUAAUGAGCAACAGGAUC